GAAAGUACAAUAAUUUCCAUCCUCAAAAUCUUCCUUUUCAUAUUGAGUAGGAAGAAAUUAUGUCCGCGAAAAUGACAUUGAAAACUUUUAUUGUCUUUGGUCUUCUUUUUGCAAGUAUAUUCAUCUUGUCAGCUACUGCGGAUGAUACAUCUCAAGAUGAAAUAAAGGGUUAGUAUCGAAAUCUAACAUGAUUUCUUUUAUAGUUAUUAUGAUGUUAAAUUAAGUUGCUUAGCUUUUAUAUUUCAAACAAGUUUUAUAUCUUUUAGGAUGACUUCUAUCUGCAAUGAUUAUGUGUAGAUGUCUCUCAUGAUAAAGAUCAUUAUGGUGGUGGAUGG
rnacentral:lncRNA from 1 species